ensembl:snRNA U6 U6 spliceosomal RNA
GUGCUUGCUUUGGCAGCACAUAUACUAAAAUUGGAAUGAAACAUAGAUUACCAUGGUCCCUGUAUAAGAAUUACCCAGAAAUUCAUGAAGUAUUUCAUACUUUU